rnacentral:rRNA from 1 species
UACAGAGGUCCCAAGCGUUGUUCGGAUUCACUGGGCGUAAAGGGUGCGCAGGUGGGUUUGCAAGUUCGAUGUGAAAGCCCCGGGCUUAACCCGGGAAUGGCAUUAGAUACUGCAGAUCUGGAGGAUCGGAGGGGGGACUGGAAUUCUUGGUGUAGCAGUGAAAUGCGUAGAUAUCAAGAGGAACACCAGUGGCGAAGGCGAGUCCCUGGACGAUACCUGACACUGAGGCACGAAAGCUAGGGGAGCAAACAGG